rnacentral:lncRNA from 1 species
AGCAAUGUGGUGUCCACUCAACCCCGCUUCGUCAAGCUGUUCAUUUGGUGAUGCAUGCUCAAUAUAUCUGUCAGGUAAGACAAUUGGUCGCCACUGGAACACAAAAAACAUAUCACAAAGUUGUGGUCACAAAAAACAUAUCACAACGUUGUGAUCACAAAAAACAAAAAUCUAGUCAUACUUUGCAGACAAGCUAUGCCAAGGCUGUGUGUGAUUAUAAAUGCACCAAACACAAUAUAAAAUCACUAGAUCAUCUUUAAAAUGAUAUAAAACUAAAAUAAACAAUUUGCUGCAUGAAAGGGACGCCAAGCUUUCGCAAAUUACACGUACAACACAACAGAAAUAUUCUAGUGCUAAAAUGAUAAAUGUACUAGUAUGACC